rnacentral:rRNA from 1 species
UCGGGAAUUUUGGGCAAUGGGCGAAAGCCUGACCCAGCAACGCCGCGUGAAGGAUGAAGUCUUUCGGGAUGUAAACUUCGUAAGAAUAGGAAGAAUAAAUGACGGUACUAUUUGUAAGGUCCGGCUAACUACGUGCCAGCAGCCGCGGUAAUACGUAGGGACCAAGCGUUGUUCGGAUUUACUGGGCGUAAAGGGCGCGUAGGCGGCAAUUCAAGUCAGUUGUGAAAUCUCCGAGCUUAACUCGGAACGGUCAACUGAUACUGUUUUGCUAGAGUACAGAAGGGGCAAUCGGAAUUCUUGGUGUAGCGGUGAAAUGCGUAGAUAUCAAGAGGAACACCUGAGGUGAAGACGGGUUGCUGGGCUGAUACUGACGCUGAGGCGCGAAAGCUAGGGUAGCAAACG